GAGGGAUGAGGUAUACUGUAGCCGUGACUUCAGAGAAGUGUAGAUUUUGCGUUUUAUCUGGCCAGUCUCCAAAGCCCUUAAAUUCUACAGGAAUGGAUGGUAUCUGACUGCUGUAGAUGCUGCCUAAGCAGUCUCAGAGCAGGAUGCCCUAGCUGAGGGCCUCUGGAAAAGAAAACAGGGUUCUGUCUGAUCAUCAUCAACAACAAAACACCCAUCUAACUCAGAGGGGGAAAAAAAGCGAAUGUCAGCUGCAUACCAGAUGCAGAAUCAUCUAAGGAGCUGUUUAUAUCUGGCAUCAGGAUUAGGAUUUUUUGGUCAAACUCACAAAAACUAGAGUCAUCUGAAAAGAAGUAACCUUGAUUAAGAACCUGCAUCCAUAAUACUAGCCUAUAGGGAAGGACGCUACUAGGAGGUGUGGCCUUGUUGGAGUAGGUGUGUCACUGUGGGCAUAGGCUUAAGACCCUCACCCUAGCUGCCUGGAAGGGAGUCUUCUCUUAGAGGCCUACAGAUGAAGAUGUAGAAUUCUCAGCUCUGCCUACACCAUGCCUGUCUGGAUGUUUCCAUGCUCCAACCUUGACGAUAAUGGACUGAACCUCUGAACCUGUAAGCCAGCCUCAAUUAAAUGUUGUCUUUAAUAAGA
rnacentral:lncRNA from 1 species